rnacentral:rRNA from 1 species
GCUUAACGCGAAGAACCUUACCAGCCCUUGACAUCCCGGUCGCGGUUACCAGAGAUGGUUUCCUUCAGUUCGGCUGGACCGGUGACAGGUGCUGCAUGGCUGUCGUCAGCUCGUGUCGUGAGAUGUUGGGUUAAGUCCCGCAACGAGCGCAACCCUCGCCCUUAGUUGCCAUCAUUAAGUUGGGCACUCUAAGGGGACUGCCGGUGAUAAGCCGAGAGGAAGGUGGGGAUGACGUCAAGUCCUCAUGGCCCUUACGGGCUGGGCUACACACGUGCUACAAUGGUGGUGACAGUGGGCAGCGAGACCGCGAGGUCGAGCUAAUCUCCAAAAGCCAUCUCAGUUCGGAUUGCACUCUGCAACUCGAGUGCAUGAAGUUGGAAUCGCUAGUAAUC